GGUCAAGCUACAAAGGGCUAACCGUGGAU
rnacentral:rRNA from 1 species